CAGUCGCCGCGGUAAUACGUAGGGUGCGAGCAUUAAUCGGAAUUACUGGGCGUAAAGCGUGCGCAGGCGGUUGUGUAAGACAGAUGUGAAAUCCCCGGGCUCAACCUGGGAACUGCAUUUGUGACUGGCAAGCUAGAGUAUGGCAGAGGGGGGUGGAAUUCCGCGUGUAGCAGUGAAAUGCGUAGAUAUGCGGAGGAACACCGAUGGCGAAGGCGGCCCCCUGGACAAAGACUGACGCUCAGGUGCGAAAGCGUGGGGAGCAAACAGGAUUAGAUACCCCAGUAGUCCCUGUCUCUUAUAC
rnacentral:rRNA from 1 species